rnacentral:rRNA from 1 species
UACGGAGGGUGCGAGCGUUGUCCGGAAUCACUGGGCGUAAAGGGCGCGUAGGCGGCCUGAUAAGUAGGGGGUAAAAUCCUGCGGCUUAACCGCAGGGCUGCCUUCUAAACUGUCAGGCUAGAGCACAGUAGAGGCAGGUGGAAUUCCCGGUGUAGCGGUGGAAUGCGUAGAGAUCGGGAAGAACAUCAGUGGCGAAGGCGGCCUGCUGGGCUGUUGCUGACGCUGAGGCGCGACAGCGUGGGGAGCAAACAGG